ensembl:lncRNA
GCUGGAGGCAGGUGCCCACAGUGGCCACGUCACAGUGAGACUGCAGCCCUGAGCCUACCACGUGUGGUCAGCUGGAGAGGGCAGUGCCCAGGGAGCUCAGAGCUGCAUGCACAGUGUCCCGAGUGCCAGAUCAGAAGGGUGAGGAGACGUGGAUCAGGCUUCCCCGGCCAUCAGACACUGGGGGUGUUGGGGGUCCCAGGAGCACCCCAUACCCCAGGAAGUGCUGCUUUCUGAGGGAAAGAGCCCUUGCUGAGGAGUCCAAGGGGCUCUGGUCCCACUCAGCAGCCUGGGACCCCGGGGCCUCAGGUGUCUCUGCCGCUAUCAGAUCCCUCCUCCUUGGAGUCAACAAGAACCAGCGUGCAGCCAGCUCUGGGCUUCGCAGGGGUUCAGUGGUAAAGAAUCUGCCUGCAAUGCAGGAGACGUGGGUUCGAUCCCUGGGUCGGGAAGAUUCCCUGGAGAAGGAAAUGGCAACCCACUGCAGUAUUCUUGCCUGGAGAAUCCCAUGGACAGAGGAGUCCAGCGGGCUACAGUCCAUGCGGUUGCAAAAGAGUUGAAUGUGACUUAGCAACUGAGCACCAACAACAGCCAGUUCUGCACAGACUGUAUGACCUCGGGGAAGAUGCUGGGCUGUUCCCCACUGGCCCUUCCAGCUCUGUGCCCCGGAAGCUGGCCUAAAGCUGCACUGGUGGGCUCCCUCACCGUCUGGCUUCAGCUGGACGAGAGGAGAAUGUGGCCUGGAUGCCCUCCCUGCUGGACUGGGGCUUGGCAGUGGCAGAUGUCUCUCCCAGAGGCCCUUGGCUCCUCGUGGGCAGCUGUCUCCUCCGGUUACGGCACAUACCAGAUCCCAGAGGCCUAGAGCGGCAACAGCCCCCUGCUUUGCAGGCUCUGGGUGCCCACCGGCCCUUGUGGGUCCCCCAACUCUGCUCACACGUCUGUACAUUGUCUUUUCAUCAAGCCCUUCAGCCCCUGUUCUGCAUGUGUCUUCUGCCUCUGAACUGCCUGCAAUAUCACUGAACCCUCUUAGCUUGUUUCCCCAUCCUUCUGCUGGGGACCAUGAUGACAUCUGCCUCUAGAAGCUGGAAGAGACAAGGAAACGGAUUCUUUCCUAGAGUGAUGCAAAGGAACGCUGCUUUGUAGACACCUUGGUUUAGCCCAGACACUGAUUUUGGAGAUCUGACCUCUGGGCUGUAAGAAGAUAAACUUUCGUUGUUUUAAGCCACAACGUUUGUGGCCAUUUGUUACAGCGGCCAUAGGAUACUGCUACACGGGUCCAGGCCCCAGAUAAGCAGUGACUGUAAUAAAUUCUGGGCUCUUCCCCAGCUCCAGCUGAACAUUCCAGGAGCAGCUGCUCAGGGGCAACCUGACCGUGACCUCCCAGAACCUCAGUGUCUUCAUUUUGGCCUAGGAGGCACAUGUGUUUUUUUUUUUUUUCCCCUGCCAGGGUGAAAUGCUGACAACAAAUUAUGUCUCAAGGGUUUCAGACUCCAGUGUUAUCAGGAGCCUGAGUAACAUGGCAAGUCGCCUGAGUGAGUGGGAUGGUGUGAAGCAGUGGGGAGUGGUGGGCCUGUGGCAAACUGGAGAACUCACACCUUGCUUAAAGACAUCAACUUUACGACUUCCCCAGCUUCCCUGGUGGCUCAGAUGGUAAAGUGUCUGCCUGCAAUGCGAGAGACCUGGGUUCGAUCCCUGGGUGGAGAAGAUCCCCUGGAGAAGGAAAUGGAAACCCACUCCAGUACUCUUGCCUGGAAAAUUCCAUGGACGGAGGAGCCUGGUAGGCUACAGUCCAUGGGGUUGCAAAGAGUCAGACAAGACAAAGCGAGUUUGCUUUCACUUUAGGACUUCCCUGGUGGUCCAGUGGUUGAGAAUCCACCUGCCAAUGGAGGGGACAUGGGUUCGAUCCCUGGUCAGGGAAGACCCGUGAGGCAGCUGGCCUGCGCACCACCACCACUGAGCCCACGCUCUGGAGCCUGAGCGUUUCAACAGCUGAGGUCUGCUUGCUCGAGAGCCCACACACCAAAAUUAGAGAAAGCCCAGGCACAACAACAAACACCCAGCACAGCCAGAUAAAUAAUUUUAAAAAAAGAUAUCCACUUUAAGUGACAGGAAGAGCAAUAAAUCCAGCCAAACAAAGUCAACAUCUUAUCUGUCCACGUGGCUUACGGACUAGGACUUUGGGAUCCCAUAUUCACCUUCUAGUUUCACAGUGACUCCAAGGGGAGGUGCUCCACAGGGUAGGGAGAGGCCCUGAAUAUGAUGAGGGUGAGCCUUGGCUGCCCCUUAGAGUCACCCUUCCCCUACCCCAGACCUCUACCACAUCUAGCCUCUGUUUCCUAAAAGGGGAUUUUGAUACAGAAUCUGGUGAGAGCCAUUGGGCCCGCUGGCUCACUGGCAUCGCCUCACCUCCAUCAUCCUUUCCCACCCACACAAAACUCUCACAGUGCCCCCUGGAGAAGUCGGUCCAUUAGCCCUGGGGCACCACCUCUCACCUUCCUCUCCAACAUGGGAGGAACUUGUGUGGAAUAACCAAAAGUCUACUACUGUUGGGUCAAGCUCUAACCAAUCCAAACCACAGGUUGGGGAGUAGGAGACACAGAAAAGAGGGGCACUGUCCCCCCAAAAUGAUGAGAACAAAGAUGUCCUGGUAGAGACCAUGAGUUUUGGAGUCAGACAGACCUGGGUGAGUCCCCACUUCACCACAUACUAGCUGUGUGGCUUCAGGAAACAUAUUUGACCACUCUGAGCCUCAGUUGUCACAUCUUUAAAAUUGGAAUAACAUUAAUAAUACCUCUUUGCAUUGUUGCUGUGAGAACUAAAUCAAAUAAUGUAUGUGAGGGGUGGUCCCUGGCCUACAGGAGGGACUCCGCUCAGACUCUGGACCCAGACAACUUGGGUUAGAGAUCCCUUUAGUGGUUGCGUGACCUUGGCAAGUUACCUCAUGUGGCGUUCUCAUCUCACAUGUGGGUUCACUGGUGUCCUCACAGGGCUGUCGGGAGGAUGAGGUCAAGGGUGUGAGACCUUGCCUGGACUUCGUAAGGACUCCGUGAGCCCACGAAUUAUUUACUAGAUACUGUCACCCCAGCGGGGCCCGUUCUCAGAGCCAUCACUGCUCAGAAGCCUCGUUUGAUUUCAGGGACCUUUGCGGAUGCCCCAAGCGUUGUAUCAGUUUACACUGCAGUGAUUUGUAGUAAAUCCUUGUGUUCUUGUGGAGGGACGGUAAUGACAAUAUAAGACCAUUAGAUCGGC